GACGAACUGUUCUAACGUUAUUCGGAAUCACUGGGCUUAAAGGGCGCGUAGGCUGUUUGUUAAGCGGGGUCUGAAAUCCCUCGGCUCAACCGAGGAACUGGGCUUCGAACUGGCAGACUAGAGUGAAGUAGGGGUAAGCGGAACUUGCGGUGGAGCGGUGAAAUGCUUUGAUAUCGCAAGGAACACCGGCGGCGAAGGCGGCUUACUGGGCUUCAACUGACGCUUAAGCGCGAAAGCUAGGGUAGCGAACGGGAUUAGAUACCCCCGGUAGUCCCUGAGCGGGCUGG
rnacentral:rRNA from 1 species